GAUGAACGCUGGCGGCGUGCCUAAUACAUGCAAGUCGAGCGAACGGACGAGGAGCUUGCUUCUCUGAUGUUAGCGGCGGACGGGUGAGUAACACGUGGAUAACCUACCUAUAUGACUGGGAUAACUUCGGGAAACCGUAGCUAAUACCGGAUAAUAUUUUGAACCGCAUGGUUCAAAAGUGAAAGACGGUCUUGCUGUCACGUAUAGAUGGAUCCGGGCUGCAUUAGCUGGUUGGUAAGGUAACGGCUUACCAAGGCAACGAUGCAUAGCCGACCUGAGAGGGUGAUCGGCCACACUGGAACUGAGCCGCGGUCAAGACUCCUACGGGAGGCAGCAGUAGGGAAUCGUCCGCAAUGGGCGAAAGCCUGACGGAGCAACGCCGCGUGAGUGAUGAAGGUCUUCGGAUCGUAAAACUCUGUUAUUAGGGAAGAACAUAUGUGUAAGUAACUGUGCACAUCUUGACGGUACCUAAUCAGAAAGCCACGGCUAACUACGUG
rnacentral:rRNA from 1 species